CAGGAUGCUUGGGUGCCAUCGGCUGACCAGCAGAGGUUGAAUAGGGAGCCUACACAUGGACUGGAAAAGCGAGCGGUGUUAUAGGACCACUGUAAUACAAUAUCAGUCAAAUUAAAUGUGCCCACCAGAAGGUAAUCUUUCUCUGGAUUAAAGGCCACGCUCGUGAUGGCGUAUUCCUCGGCGGCACUAGUAAAAAGAUUGGCGCCCUGGGCAUCCCAAAUCUUAAACCGAAAGUCCUCGCCUCCGGACGCUAUAACAUUGGAUUGUGGGGACCAGCUGAGGGAAAGCACCAGGCCAUCAUGGGCACGCCACUGAAAUUAGAAAAUAAGUAAAGUUAAGUAAAGAUAAUAAUAUUAAUAAAAAAUAUUAUUUAAAGUUA